rnacentral:rRNA from 1 species
GAGGGAAUCUUCCGCAAAGGACGCAAGUCUGACGGAGCAACGCCGCGUGAGUGAAGAAGGAUUUCGGUUCGUAAAACUCUGUUGUUAGAGAAGAACAGCGCAUAGAGUAACUGUUAUGCGUGUGACGGUAUCUAACCAGAAAGCCACGGCUAACUACGUGCCAGCAGCCGCGGUAAUAGGUAGGUGGCAAGCGUUGUCCGGAUUUAUUGGGCGUAAAGCGAGCGCAGGCGGUCAAUUAAGUCUAGUGUGAAAGCCCCCGGCUCAACCGGGGAGGGUCAUUGGAAACUGGUUGGCUUGAGUGCAGAAGAGGAGGGUGGAAUUCCAUGUGUAGCGGUGAAUUGCGUAGAUAUAUGGAGGAACACCAGUGGCGAAGGCGACUCUCUGGUCUGUAACUGACGCUGGGGUUCGAAAGCGUGGGUAGCAAACAGG